GGCAGUGACUCAGCUGUGGCCUGGGGUGGGGGUGACCAGGCUAUUUUGGGGGAAUGAAUAAGGAGGGGCAUUUGAUACCUGGAUGACCCUGCCUCUAAUCCUCUGAAUCCCCUUUCUCUAGGCUGGGCUGGUUUCUUGUGUGGAUGCCAUGUACACCAUCGUGUGGGGUCAGAGCCCUCUGAGAGGAGCCCAGCCUUCCUCCCUCCUCAUUCCCCUGUCUUCAUUCCAGAGAGAAGGGUUGGGGAAUUUCUGAAUAACCGCCCCCAGCUCCUCAAGAGGGCCCUAGUUUCCACACUAUUCUCUAGGUCCUUGUCCACUUCUGGACUCUUCCCUGUGACUCAGGGCCUAGACUCUCUGGGAAUGGAGAGGAGAGGAAUGUGGCACAAGGGAGCUGACUUCGGGGCUAUUUCUGACUCUGGAGUCAUCAGCUGCUCAGUCACAGACGAGGGUGGCAGUGAGGUAGGGGUAUCACAUUUGCCUCCUCUUUUGCUCCCUGGAAGAGCCUGAGGGACCUGGUGGGCUUCAGAGAUGCGGGCACUUGGACCGGUCUACAGUGUACACCUUGGCGGAAUCGUCCCCUUAGAUGAGAACCGAAAGGGCUGCUGAGGGGGAGAUGGAAAAAAGAGACCACAUAGGAGACUGUACUGAUGCGUUUAUGACCGGAUGGUAGAAGACUGUGCCACCCCGAGAUGUGCCACUUCAGCACAAGGAUUACUUUGAGCUAAAGUCAAUUGGGAAGGAACACACAAGAUUUCUUUCUUCCCUCUUCCGGGAGGAAAAGCAGCGAAGACAUCGCCACACCCCUAUGGCCUGCAGAGGGCGCCAGAGGACUCUGACGACCUGUACCACUCGGAAGACACGCUCUUUUCCUGUCUUGUCACUACCCUUAUUGUUCUUUAUCCGUGUUGUCGGAGUUCUAAGCCACCUCUUUGAGAGUUACUGUCCCUAGGUUUUUCUCUCAUGUACGUUUGAAUGUAUAUGUUAA
rnacentral:lncRNA from 1 species